rnacentral:rRNA from 1 species
UGCGACCUCAGGUCAGGGGGGGGCUA